rnacentral:rRNA from 1 species
GACGAACGCUGGCGGCGUGCUUAACACAUGCAAGUCGAACGGUGAAGGGACCGGUUUUUGCUGGUUCUGGAUGAGUGGCGAACGGGUGAGUAACACGUGAGUAACCUGCCCCCUUCUUCUGGAUAACCGCAUGAAAGUGUGGCUAAUACGGGAUAUUCUGCGCCUGCUGCAUGGUGGGUGUGGGAAAGAUAUUGUUUCGGUGGGGGAUGGGCUCGCGGCCUAUCAGCUUGUUGGUGGGGUGAUGGCCUACCAAGGCGGUGACGGGUAGCCGGCCUGAGAGGGCGGACGGUCACACUGGGACUGAGACACGGCCCAGACUCCUACGGGAGGCAGCAGUGGGGAAUAUUGCACAAUGGGCGCAAGCCUGAUGCAGCGACGCCGCGUGAGGGAUGGAGGCCUUCGGGUUGUAAACCUCUUUCGCCAGUGAAGCAGGCCUGUCCCUUUUGUGGGUGGGUUGACGGUAGCUGGAUAAGAAGCGCCGGCUAACUACAUG